GAUUAUGGCUCAGGAUGAACGCUGGCGGCGUGCUUAACACAUGCAAGUCGAACGAAGCCAAAAGGAAGCUUGCUUCUUGAAGCUUAGUGGCGGACGGGUGAGUAACGCGUGAGGAACCUGCCCUUCAGUGGGGAAUAACAGUCGGAAACGACUGCUAAUACCGCAUAACGUCACCGGAUCGCAUGAUCUGGUGACCAAAGGAUUUAUUCGCUGAAGGAUGGCCUCGCGUCCGAUUAGGCAGUUGGUGAGGUAACGGCCCCACCAAACCUACGAUCGGUAGCCGAACUGAGAGGUUGAUCGGCCACAUUGGGACUGAGACACGGCCCAGACUCCUACGGGAGGCAGCAGUGGGGAAUAUUGGGCAAUGGGCGAAAGCCCUGACCCAGCAACGCCGCGUGAAGGAAGACGGUCUUCGGAUUGUAAACUUCUUUGAUUGGGGAAGAACACAAUGACCUACCCAAAGAACAAGUCACGGCUAACUACGUGCCAGCCGCCGC
rnacentral:rRNA from 1 species